GAUGAACGCUCGCUGUGUGCCUAAUACAUGCAUGUUGAACGGGAUGUAGCAAUACAUUCAGUAGCGAAUGGGUGAGUAACACGUACCUAACCUACCUUUAAGACUGGGAUAACUAUUGGAAACAAUAGCUAAUACCGGAUAUAGUUAUUUAUCGCAUGAUGAGUAAUAGAGAGGAGCUUCACAGCUUCACUUAAAAAUGGGGGUGCGGAACAUUAGUUAGUUGGUAGGGUAAUGGCCUACCAAGACGAUGAUGUUUAGCCGGGCCGAGAGGCUGUACGGCCACACUGGGACUGAGAUACGGCCCAGACUCCUACGGGAGGCAGCAGUAAGGAAUUUUCCACAAUGAGCGAAAGCUUGAUGGAGCGACACAGCGUGCAGGAUGAAGUUCUUCGGAAUGUAAACUGCUGUUAUAAGGGAAGAAAAAAUAGAAUAGGAAAUGAUUUUAUCUUGACGGUACCUUAUUAGAAAGCGACGGCAAACUAUGUGCCAGCAGCUGCGGUAAUACAUAGGUCGCAAGCGUUAUCCGGAAUUAUUGGGCGUAAAGCGUCCGUAGGUUUUUUGCUAAGUCUGGAGUUAAAUGCUGAAGCUCAACUUCAGUCCGCUUUGGAUACUGGCAAAAUAGAAUUAUAAAGAGGUUAGCGGAAUUCCUAGUGAAGCGGUGGAAUGCGUAGAUAUUAGGAAGAACACCAAUAGGCGAAGGCAGCUAACUGGUUAUAUAUUGACACUAAGGGACGAAAGCGUGGGGAGCAAACAGG
rnacentral:rRNA from 1 species